GAGAAGAACGCAGCGAAAUGCGAUAAGUAAUGUGAAUUGCAGAAUUCAGUGAAUCAUCGAAUCUUUGAACGCACAUUGCGCCCGCCAGCAUUCUGGCGGGCAUGCCUGUUCGAGCGUCAUUUCAACCCUCGAGCCCCCCCGGGGGCCUCGGUGUUGGGGGACGGCACACCAGCCGCCCCCGAAAUGCAGUGGCGACCCCGCCGCAGCCUCCCCUGCGUAGUAGCACACACCUCGCACCGGAGCGCGGAGGCGGUCACGCCGUAAAACGCCCAACUUUCUUAGAGUUGACCUCGGAUCAGGUAGGAAUACCCGCUGAACUUAAGCAUAUCAAUAAGCGGAGGA
rnacentral:misc_RNA from 1 species